GAGCCGUCGCCGGUGCCCGGGGCCCGUGCCCGGGGAUGGGGAUCCCCCCGCGCCCACGGGACGGGCUGUCCAGCUGAGCCAGCCCAGCUCCCGCAGCUUUUCCUGAGUCCCUACACCCCUGACCCCCAGGCACUUCAGCAGCUCACGGGAAAUCCCAGUAGGAUCAGGGUCCCAAGUGCUUGGGGAACCUGGGCCUUUAAAGGUAUUUAAGCUUGGACUGGGCUCAGCCAUGCAGAGCCUGUCCUAAUAUCAGUAAGUUUUGAGUGGAGAGCUGGACCAAGGCUUGCAGGGAUCCAUGCUCUUGGCAAAACAAAAGUGUGUCCGUGUGCUUGAUACGUGGAUCUGGAUUGUGUCUGCUUGAUACGAUCUGUGCAGGGUGUCACAUUAAACUCCUUUUUUGCUUCCACGAUUCCUGACUCGGGGUCUUACUUCUGAUUUACAGAGUCACAGACUAUUCUGAGUUGGAAGGGACCCACGGGGAGCAUCGAGUACAACUCCUAAGUGAAUGGCCCGUUCCGGGAUUGACCCCACAACCUGGUUGUUUUUAGCACCAGGCUCUGACCAGCUGAGCUCGUCCCCGGGUUUUGUGUCAGUAUUAAAGUUAUUUAAACACUCUGCAGGAUUGGAGUGAAGUUAGCAAAGUGGGCAGUGGAAUAGGAAAACCCCUAAACUUGGGAAAAACUGCUUUCCAGUGACUUCAGAAGCAGCAGCAGCAGCAGCAGGGUCAGCCUGUCAGGACACAAACCAGUGCUUCCUGCGUUCUUUCCAAGGUGGAGAAAUCUCCCUGGCGGGGAUGUCCUCCCUCGGAGCAGCAGGAUAACCCCUCGUUGCCGUGUCCCCAGGGCUGGUGGCCCGAGCUGGGAGCAUGAGCGAGUUCCGCAUCCACCACGACGUGAACGAGCUGCUGAGCCUGCUGCGAGUGCACGGCGGGGAGGGCGCCGAGGUCUACAUCGAGCUGCUGCAGAAGAACCGCACGCCCUACGUCACCACCACCGUCUCUGCACACAGCGCCAAGGUGAAAAUAGCAGAGUUUUCUCGAACUCCUGAAGAUUUUUUAAAGAAGUACGAUGAGCUGAAGUCUAAAAACACCAGACAUCUGGAUUCUUUAGUUUAUCUGCUGUCCAAACUCACCGAAGACAAAGAGACACUCCACUACCUGCAACAAAAUGCUAAAGAAAGGGCAGAACUCGCAGCAAAUGCAGCCACCAGCAGCAGCACGAAUUUUUCCAUCCCCACAUCCACUUCCAAGAUGUCUCUGCAGGAGCUGGAGGAGCUGCGCAAGCAGCUGGGCAGUGUCACAGCCAACUCCAGUGCACAGCAGCCUCUUGAGCUUACACGAAAAAUCCUCCGGGAUAAGCAGAACAAGAAGAAUUCUGGCCAGCCCAUUCCAGUAUUCCCAUCCUGGGUGUAUGAGAGACCUGCACUUAUUGGGGAUUUCUUAAUUGGCACCAGUCUAAGCACUGACACAACAGUACCAAUAGGCACUUUGCCAUUGGCCUCGCAGGAGUCCGUGAUUGUGGAGGACUUGCUGUACGUUCUCAUCGGUGUGGAUGGAAGGUACAUCACAGCACAGGCCCUCGUGGGCAGGCAGAACCGAGCCUUUUCACUCGAUCCAAACCUGGACUUGUCCAUCAAGGAGCUGGUGACCAGGAUUCUUCCUGUGGCAGCAAGUUACUCUGCUGUCACCAGGUUUAUAGAGGAGAAGUCUUCCUUCGAGUAUGGACAGGUAAAUCAUGCUCUGGCUGCUGCCAUGCGGACUCUAAUCAAGGAAUACAUGAUAUUAAUUACCCAGCUGGAGCAUCUUCAGAGGCAGGGACUCCUGUCCCUGCAGAAACUGUGGUUUUACAUCCAGCCCACAAUGAGGACCCUGGAGAUUCUGGCUUCCCUGGCUACUUCUGUGGAUAAGGGUGAGUGCAUGGGAGGAUCAACCCUGAGCUUGCUCCAUGACAAGACUUUCAAUUACACGGGGGACAGCCAGGCCCAGGAGUUGUGCCUGUAUUUAACCAAGGCAGCCAGCGUGCCUUACUUUGAAAUCCUGGAAAAGUGGAUCUAUAGAGGCAUCAUUAAUGAUCCAUACAGUGAGUUCAUGGUGGAGGAGCACGAGCUGCAGAAGGAGAAGAUUCAGGAGGACUAUAAUGACAAGUACUGGGAUCAGAGAUACACUGUUGUUCAGCAACAGAUUCCCUCCUUCCUGCAGAAAAUGGCUGACAAAAUCCUGAGCACAGGGAAAUACUUAAAUGUUGUGCGGGAAUGUGGGCGAGAUGUCACCUGCCCUGUGGCCAAAGAGGUCAUCUACACUUUAAAAGAGAGAGCCUAUGUGGAACAAAUAGAAAAAGCAUAUAACUAUGCCAGCAAAGUUCUUCUGGACUUCCUGAUGGAGGAGAAAGAGCUGGUGGCUCACCUAAGGUCUAUAAAACACUAUUUCCUGAUGGAUCAAGGGGACUUCUUUGUUCACUUCAUGGAUCUGACGGAGGAGGAACUUAAGAAGCCUGUAGAUGACAUCGUAACGACGAGGCUGGAGGCUCUGCUGGAAUUAGCCCUGAGAAUGAGCACAGCCAACACUGAUCCUUUCAAGGAUGAUUUAAAGAUUGACUUGAUGCCCCAUGACCUCAUCACGCAGCUCCUGAGAGUAUUGGCCAUAGAAACAAAGCAGGAGAAGGCCAUCAUCAGUGCAGACCCCACAGAGCUCACCCUCAGCGGCCUGGAGGCCUUUUCCUUCGACUACAUUGUGAAGUGGCCUCUGUCCCUCAUCAUCAACAGGAAAGCACUGACAAGGUACCAGAUGCUUUUCAGACACAUGUUCUACUGCAAGCACGUGGAAAGGCAGCUGUGCAACGUUUGGAUCAGCAAUAAGACAGCCAAGCAGUUCUCCCUGCAUUCAGCUAAGUGGUUUGCUGGUGCUUUCACACUGCGGCAGCGGAUGCUGAAUUUUGUGCAGAAUAUCCAGUAUUAUAUGAUGUUUGAAGUGAUGGAGCCAACAUGGCACAUUCUGGAGAAGAACCUGAAGCUGGCAUCCAACAUCGACGAUGUCCUGAGCCACCACACGAGCUUCCUGGACAACUGCCUCAAGGACUGCAUGCUCACCAACCCGGAGCUGCUCAAGAUCUUCUCCAAGCUGAUGUCUGUGUGUGUCAUGUUCACCAACUGCAUGCAGAGGUUCACACAGAGCAUGAAGCUGGACAGUGAGAUGGAGAGGCUCACCCUGGAGCAUGGCACCAUGCUGGGCCCGCCCACGGACGAGGAGCGUGCUGAGGAAGCUGCCAAGAAGAAGCUGACCAACAAGCUUUUAGCAGAGCAUGCUGACAGCCUGCACCUCACAUCUGGCUUUGAAGCCACCAUCAACAAGUUUGACAGCAAUUUCUCCACACAUCUGCUGGACCUGCUGGACAAACUGAGCGUGUACAGCACCAAUGACUGCGAGCACAGCAUGCUCAACAUCAUCUACAGGCUGGACUUCAACGGGUUCUACACGGAGCGCCUGGAGCACAUGUCGGCCGAGCGCAGCCAGAAGGCCCCGCCGCCGCUGCCCCGCCUGGCCGUGCCCGCCCAGUGACCGCCAGCCCUGCCCAGCCAGCCCACGGCCCGCAGACAAACCCUGAGGGCUGACCAGAGACACAGGGGAACGUUCGCUCUCCCGAGGUGUUUGUAAUGUUUUGGGGUUUUGUUGGCGCUUGUUUGUUUGUUUUUACUGUUUUGGGGUUUUUUUG